rnacentral:tRNA from 1 species
GAGGGAGUGCCAGAGUCCGGUCAAAUGGGUAGGACUUAAGAUCCUAUGGCUUAGUGCCUGCGCAGGUUCGAAUCCUGUCUCCCUCA